rnacentral:rRNA from 1 species
GUGCACCAGGCGAGAAACUUCACAAUGUGCGAAAGCACGAUGAGGGAAUCCCAAGUGCUUGCUCGUAAGAGUAAGCUGUUUCUCUGUCUAAAACGCAGAGAGAGUAAGGGCUGGGUAAGACGGGUGCCAGCCGCCGCGGUAAUACCUGCAGCUCGAGUGGUGGCCGCUAUUAUUGGGCCUAAAACGUCCGUAGCCGGUUUAUUAAAUGCCUGGGUAAAUCGGACCGCUUAACGGUUCGAAUUCCGGGUAGACUGAUAAACUUGAGACCGGGAGAAGCUAGAGGUACUCCUGGGGUAGAGGUGAAAAUUCUGUAAUCCUAGGGGGACCACCAGUGGCGAAGGCGUCUAGCUAGAACGGGUCUGACGGUGAGGGACGAAGCCCUGGGGCGCAAAACGGGGAUUAGAUACCCCUGUAGUCC